UAGGGAAUCUUCCGCAAUGGACGCAAGUCUGACGGAGCAACGCCGCGUGAGUGAAGAAGGAUUUCGGUUCGUAAAACUCUGUUGUUAGAGAAGAACAGCGCAUAGAGUAACUGUUAUGCGUGUGACGGUAUCUAACCAGAAAGCCACGGCUAACUACGUGCCAGCAGCCGCGGUAAUACGUAGGUGGCAAGGGUUGUCCGGAUUUAUUGGGCGUAAAGCGAGCGCAGGCGGUUAGAUAAGUCUGAAGUUAAAGGCAGUGGCUCAACCAUUGUAGGAUUUGGAAACUGUUUAACUUGAGUGCAGAAGGGGAGAGUGGAAUUCCAUGUGUGACGGUGAAAUGCGUAGAUAUAUGGAGGAACACCGGUGGCGAAAGCGGCUCUCUGGUCUGUAACUGACGCUGAGGCUCGAAAGCGUGGGGAGCGAACAGG
rnacentral:rRNA from 1 species